AAAAAAUUCGCAGCCCGCCACGCCGCGCCGCCAUUUUUAAUUUUCUGCAAAGAUUUGAGCUGAGAUAUAUAGCUGAGCUGGCCGGCCUGAUCCUGAGCAACGAAUCUGAAUCUGUUCUGUUCCUGGUCCUGAUCCUCGAGCUGGGAUAUUGAUGACCAAUAAGUCAAUUCCAAGGGGAUCCGAGUAUGCCAUGGAUUACUGCUGAAGUCACACAGUGUGCAUGCUGAAACACUAAUCAGACGGAUGCUCUACAUGGACAUCAUAUACCCAUGUACGUUUGUAAGCUAUGUAAUCAUUCUUCUGGAUCAUUGAAGCGGUUUUCUGAACACUUUUCAGUCCAUAGAAAUGUGGUGAAUUUCGAUUUCCCGUGUGGUGUUCCUGGCUGCAAUCGAACAUUCAGAAAUUAUUCAUCCUUCAAAACCCAUGUGCAUAGGGAUCAUCAACCA
rnacentral:lncRNA from 1 species